GACGAACGCUGGCGGCGUGCCUAAUACAUGCAAGUCGAACGCAGUGGGGACGGGUGAGUAACACGUGGGUAACCUCCCAUCAGAGGGGAUAACACUUGGAAACAGGUGCUAAACCGAUACUGAUGGAUGGACCCGCGGUGCAUUAGCUAGUUGGUGAGGUAACGGCUCUCCAAGGCGAAGAUGCAUAGCCUACCGGAGAUGAUGAUCGGCCACACUGGUACGGCGACACGGCCCAGACUCCUACGGGAGGCAGCAGUAGGGAAUCUUCGGCAAUGGACGAAAGUCUGACCGAGCGACGCGGCGUGAGUGAAGAAGGUUUUCGGAUCGUAAAACUCUGUUGUUAGAGAAGCGGUAUCUAACCAGAAAGCCACGGCUAACUACGUGCCAGCCGCGGUAAUUC
rnacentral:rRNA from 1 species